AGCCUUGUGGUCUAGCGGUACGACGUCAGCUUCCACAUCAGACGUGACAGCUGGAGGGUGCGAGUUCGAUUCCCGCCAAGGCAG